GGCACAUGCCAUGUCCCAGCUACCAAAGAGCCUGAAGCAGGUGUAUUGCUUGAGCCUAGAAGUUCUAGGCUGUAGUGCCCUAUGCCCAUCAGGUGUCUGCACUGUUUGGCAUCAAUAUGGUGACCUCCUGAGAUGGGGGGGACCACCAUUUGCCUAAGGAGGGGUGAACUAGCCCAGACCAGAAACAGAGCAGGUCAAAACUCCUGUGCCGAUCAGUAAUGGGACUGCAACUAUAAAUAACCACUGCAUUCCAGCCUGAGCAAUGUAGCAGGAUCCUGUCUCUA
rfam:Chlorocebus sabaeus isolate 1994-021 chromosome 19, whole genome shotgun sequence.